AUUGAACGCUGGCGGCAGGCCUAACACAUGCAAGUCGAGCGGUAGCACAGAGAGCUUGCUCUCGGGUGACGAGCGGCGGACGGGUGAGUAAUGUCUGGGAAACUGCCUGAUGGAGGGGGAUAACUACUGGAAACGGUAGCUAAUACCGCAUAACGUCGCAAGACCAAAGUGGGGGACCUUCGGGCCUCAUGCCAUCAGAUGUGCCCAGAUGGGAUUAGCUAGUAGGUGGGGUAACGGCUCACCUAGGCGACGAUCCCUAGCUGGUCUGAGAGGAUGACCAGCCACACUGGAGCUGAGACACGGUCCAGACUCCUACGGGAGGCAGCAGUGGGGAAUAUUGCACAAUGGGCGCAAGCCUGAUGCAGCCAUGCCGCGUGUGUGAAGAAGGCCUUCGGGUUGUAAAGCACUUUCAGCGGGGAGGAAGGCGUUAAGGUUAAUAACCUUGGCGAUUGACGUUACCCGCAGAAGAAGCACCGGCUAACUCCGUGCCAGCAGCCGCGGUAAUACGGAGGGUGCAAGCGUUAAUCGGAAUUACUGGGCGUAAAGCGCACGCAGGCGGUCUGUCAAGUCGGAUGUGAAAUCCCCGGGCUCAACCUGGGAACUGCAUUCGAAACUGGCAGGCUAGAGUCUUGUAGAGGGGGGUAGAAUUCCAGGUGUAGCGGUGAAAUGCGUAGAGAUCUGGAGGAAUACCGGUGGCGAAGGCGGCCCCCUGGACAAAGACUGACGCUCAGGUGCGAAAGCGUGGGGAGCAAACAGGAUUAGAUACCCUGGUAGUCCACGCCGUAAACGAUGUCGAUUUGGAGGUUGUGCCCUUGAGGCGUGGCUUCCGGAGCUAACGCGUUAAAUCGACCGCCUGGGGAGUACGGCCGCAAGGUUAAAACUCAAAUGAAUUGACGGGGGCCCGCACAAGCGGUGGAGCAUGUGGUUUAAUUCGAUGCAACGCGAAGAACCUUACCUGGUCUUGACAUCCACAGAACUUAGCAGAGAUGCUUUGGUGCCUUCGGGAACUGUGAGACAGGUGCUGCAUGGCUGUCGUCAGCUCGUGUUGUGAAAUGUUGGGUUAAGUCCCGCAACGAGCGCAACCCUUAUCCUUUGUUGCCAGCGGUCCGGCCGGGAACUCAAAGGAGACUGCCAGUGAUAAACUGGAGGAAGGUGGGGAUGACGUCAAGUCAUCAUGGCCCUUACGACCAGGGCUACACACGUGCUACAAUGGCAUAUACAAAGAGAAGCGACCUCGCGAGAGCAAGCGGACCUCAUAAAGUAUGUCGUAGUCCGGAUUGGAGUCUGCAACUCGACUCCAUGAAGUCGGAAUCGCUAGUAAUCGUAGAUCAGAAUGCUACGGUGAAUACGUUCCCGGGCCU
rnacentral:rRNA from 1 species